UUACCCAUUCGAAUACCGGAAAAAAAAAAAGAAAAAGAAAAUAGCGCUCAAAUAUCCAAAGACCUAACUCAGUUGUCACUACUGAUCAAUGAAAAUUUGAAGCAAGAAAGCUCCAUCAAGUGCUACCACGCGCGACAGAGAAAAAUGUUGAAGACGAAGACGUUUAAUGGGGCUAACGUAUUCAUGUCGCGGAACCUGGUGCCGCCGGAGGUCUUCGACGCUCUUCUCGAUGCCCUCAAGCAUAAUGGAGCCGAAGUUUUUCUCUGUUGCGAUCCUUCGCGGAAUGGCCCGAACGAUUACCACAUCAUUUCCUCUCCCGAUCACGAGAAAUUCGAGGAUCUUAGAGCUAAGGGCUGUACUUUGCUAGGUCCUCAGUGUGUGUUUUCUUGUGCAAAAGAACAUAGAGCAUUGCCUAAACAAGGGUUUACUUGUUGCCUUGCUAUGGAUGGUGUCAAAAUACUUGCAUCCGGUUUUGAAGUGGACGAAAAGGUUAAGAUAGAAAAAUUGGUGACAGCAAUGGGAGGACAGCUGCAUACUAAAGCAUCAUCUGAUGUUAGUUUUGUCAUUGUAAAAAAUGUUUUGGCUGCAAAAUACAAGUGGGCUUUAAAUAAUCUGAAGAAACCAAUUUUAACUAUUAAUUGGUUAUCUCAAUGUUGGAAUGAGCACCGUGUUGUUCCCCAAGAGUCAUACAGGGUUCUUCCCUUUUCUGGAUUAAUGAUAUGUGUCACCAGAAUACCUGCAGAUGAGCGGAAGGAGAUUGGAAAAAUUAUAACACAAAAUGGUGGGAAAUAUUCUGCUGAACUGACCAAGAAGUGCACACAUUUGAUUUGUGAUGCUCCUGAAGGUGACAAGUAUAAGGUUGCUCGAAGGUGGGGUCAUAUUCAAAUUGUAACUCGGAGAUGGUUUGAUCAGUCUGUUGCUAGAAGAGCAUGUCUCAAUGAGGAUUCCUAUCCUGUUCAAGGUGGUUCUAUAGCUGCAAAUAAAACUGCGAAGGGUUCCUCAAUGUCACAUCAUAGCCAAGACAAGUGUACUGCUACUUCAUUAUCUGUAGCAUCCUCAAGGGCCACAGAAUCUGGGUUUUCAGAUCCAGAUUUGGAGGCUACUCUGUCACAGAACAUGUCUUCUAUGUUCUCUGAUCCCCCUAUAUUUAUGAAAGAGGGGGAUAAACAAAUGCCUGCAGUGCACCCCAUAAAUGAAACAAACCUUGAUGUCUGUGUUGCCAAUGACUCUCAAUCUGAAGACAGUGAUCUGUACUUAUCAGAGUGCAGAAUAUCACUUGUUGGCUUUGAAGCUUCUGAGUUGCGUAAAUUAGUUAAUAUGGUGCGUAGAGGUGGGGGUUCCCGGUAUAUGUCAUUCAACGAUAAAUUGACACACAUUGUAGUUGGAGCUCCAACAGAGGUUGAAAAGAAGGAGCUCAGGGGCCUUGCUGCUUUGGGUGUGAUUAAUGUGGUUAGACCUGUCUGGCUUGAAGAGUGUGAUCAUGAAAAGAAAGAAAUCCCUGUUCUCAGGCAGCAUAUCGCCUACGAUCUGCUACUUCCUAAAGAUUCUAUGAGCUCCAUUAGAGGAGCAGUAGUUGGCAUGAUUGGUGUGAAUCAAGGUAAACUCUCCAGUGUCCAUUCAAGCAUCUGCUCUGAUCAGUUAGUGGGUAGUGCAAACGUUGGCAAUGGGAUGCCAUCAUCAUUGGAGAACAACAGAGAAGAGAAACCAGGAAUCAAAAUAAAUGCGGGCAAGCCUCUGGAAGCAACUGUGAGGCAGUCCCAGCAGAACCUAUUUUCAGUUGUUAAUGAUAAAAAGAAGAAUGAAAAGAAGAUGCAACUUGAUUCUAGUGACCAAAAUCUGAAGCCAUUAUCUGUUUUUAAGGGGAAAACAUUCUGCUUUUCGAAUUCUUUUCCUGAAGAUAGGAGAGCUGAAAUUGUUCAAUGGGUGAGUCAAGGGGGAGGGGAGAUGCUGGAAGAUCACGUGAAGGAAAAUGUGCACUUCACCAUUGAAUGCCAUGGUGUGACACCAAGGUCUGUCGAUGUUCCAGAAACUACUUAUGUAUCCAGUCAUUGGGUCCAUUCUUGUUUAGAGGACAAAUGCUUGCUGGAUGUUGGCCGUCAUAUCAUAUAUUCCCCUCUUCCCUGCCAGAUUCCUUUUCCUGGUUUUAGAAACUUCCGGUUCUGCAUCUCGCAGUAUGAAGGCAAAGACAGGUCCCUAUUAAGAAACUUGUGCUUUGUCCUUGGAGCCAAAUUUGUGGAGAAACUGACUAGAAAGGUUACCCAUCUAUUAUGCAAGUUUACCAUUGGCGAAAAGUACGAAGCUGCUUGUAGAUGGGGAAUAUGCUUGAUUACAUCUGAGUGGAUUUACGAGUGUGUCAGGCGGAAUGAAGUCGUUGCAGUGGAUCAAUUUCGGCCAAAAGUAGUUACUUCUCAAGACCAAGUGGCAGGACUAUGCAUUGUGAGCCAAUUUCCUACACAACCUGCUCAAAUGAUAUCUGGAGUGUCUCAGUAUACAAGCCAGUCACAAGACCUUAAAAGUGAACCAACUCAGAUUGGUGGCACUAGCAUUACCAGCUUUGGGGAAGAGGUCCGGAAAUCUAGUGAUUUCUCUAAAAAGGCAAGGCUUUUGGAAAGUGGAGGCCAGAAGAGUUUGCUUUCUUCUGGAGUUCAUUUAAGUGAUUCUAUAUGCAACAUAAAUUCCAGUGGAGGAAACAAUUCAAAAGAUAACAAAGAAUCAUCUUCCUGUGUUUCUGAUGUAGCUGCUGUCAUUGAGGACUUGCUAGAGCAGACAAGCAAGAUUCAUGAUCAUAAGUCACCAGAGAGGACUCAGCAUGAUGAAAAUCUUUAUCCAUCUGAUUCAGUGCUUGGUGAAGAGCAUCGGGGCUCUCAUUCUGUCAUUGGGUUACCUAAACAUUGGUUAAACAGACCUGGGAAAAGAGAUGAGUUAUCUACUCCUGCUAGUUCUAAAGAUGGAAACAACGGAAUGUACGAUGGGUUCAGUGAAACUCAAACAGAUUCUCAGGUUGUUGGGUAUGAAGAAGAUUUGUCAGGCAGGCAAAUGCUUAUAGACAGGGUUCGCACUCGAAGUUCCAUAUCCUAGGGUGGAAGACAGCUCGGCAGAUCCCUGUAAAAGUAGUAAAAUUUGUGUAGCAACAGACAAAUACUGAGGGAAGGUUCGAUUGCAAAUCUAACCUUGCUUGUAGCUAAUCAGGGUAAAUGUUUUUGCCGGCAUCACUUCAAGUUUCAACCUUGCUAAGAUGAACAGUCAAGUGUAGAUAAGACUUGGAUAGCAAAAUGUAAUCAGUAUGCAGCUUGUGAGAUGGCACGUGUGAUAUUUUCGUUCCAUGUCAGGGGCAAUGGCAUGAGAAUAAGUGAAAAAGGUUGGCACUCGUGAAUGGGGGAUGAUACUAUUACUGUUAUCUCUACUCCAGCAGUCUCUACAGACGGAUUUAAGAUCGGACCGAAAUUAGGAAAUAGCAGCAAUUGACAAUUGUCCGAUAUAUGAACUCAACUUUGUACUUUAUAUUUUUUUAUUAUAUUUAAAAUAUAGAAAUAACUCUUUUUUAUACUGUAAA